CCUACGGGUGGCAGCAGUGAGGAAUAUUGGUCAAUGGGCGCAAGCCUGAACCAGCCAAGUCGCGUGAGGGAUGACGGUCCUAUGGAUUGUAAACCUCUUUUGUCGGGGAGCAAGGCCCGCCACGUGUGGCGGGAAGGAGAGUACCCGAAGAAAAAGCAUCGGCUAACUCCGUGCCAGCAGCCGCGGUAAUACGGAGGAUGCGAGCGUUAUCCGGAUUUAUUGGGGUUAAGGGGGUCGUAGGCGGAAUGUUCAGCCAGCGGUAAAAUGUCGGUGCUCAACACCGGCCUGCCGUUGAAACUGGUCGUCUUGAGUGAGCGGGAAGUAUGCGGGAUGCGUGGUGUAGCUGUGAAAUGCAUAGAUAUCACGCAGAACUCCGAUUGCGAAGGCAGCAUACCGGCGCUCAACUGACGCUGAGGCACGAAAGCGUGGGGAUCGAACAGGAUUAGAUACCCCAGUAGUC
rnacentral:rRNA from 1 species